rnacentral:rRNA from 1 species
CAGCCGCCGCGGUAAUACCGGCGGCCCGAGUGGCGGUCACUAUUAUUGGGCUUAAAGCGUCCGUAGCCGGGUUGGGAAGUCCUCCGGGAAAUCUGGCCGCUUAACGGUCAGAAUGCCGGAGGAUACUCCCAGCCUAGGGAGCGGGCGAGGCCGAGGGGAUUCCCGGAGUAGGGGGGAAAUCCUAUAAUCCCGGGAGGACCACCUGUGGCGAAGGCGCUCGGCUGGAACGCGUCCGACGGGGAGGGACGAAGGCCAGGGGAGCAAACCGGAUUAGAUACCCGGGUAGUCCUGGCUGUAAACGAUGCGGACUUUGUGUCGGACAAGCUAUGAGCUUGUCCGGUGCCGGAGGGAAACCGUUAAGUCCGCCGCCUGGGGAGUACGGCCGCAAGGCUGAAACUUAAAGGAAUUGGCGGG